CGGGACGGGUGAGUAAUGUCUGGGAAACUGCCUGAUGGAGGGGGAUAACUACUGGAAACGGUAGCUAAUACCGCAUAACGUCGCAAGACCAAAGAGGGGGACCUUCGGGCCUCUUGCCAUCGGAUGUGCCCAGAUGGGAUUAGCUAGUAGGUGGGGUAACGGCUCACCUAGGCGGCGAUCCCUAGCUGGUCUGAGAGGAUGACCAGCCACACUGGAACUGAGACACGGUCCAG
rnacentral:rRNA from 1 species